GAUUGGGUGUUCGGAUCGUGAGUAAUCAGGGAUGAAUUUUGACUUGAUCUUUGAAAUCGUAAAGCCGGAGAGAGACGCAGCGUGAUAAUAAAUUAAUAAUGAACUAGAUAACCGGCCUCGGCUGCGGUUCCGAACAAAAUUGUUUUCAACGUAAAAAAUGUCAAGACAAGAAUGAAUUCUCAGAAAAUGUCACUAGAGCG
rnacentral:lncRNA from 1 species